rnacentral:rRNA from 1 species
GGUGAACGCUGGCGGUAGGCCUAACACAUGCAAGUCGAACGGCAGCACAGUAAGAGCUUGCUCUUACGGGUGGCGAGUGGCGGACGGGUGAGGAAUACAUCGGAAUCUACUUUUUCGUGGGGGAUAACGUAGGGAAACUUACGCUAAUACCGCAUACGACCUACGGGUGAAAGCAGGGGAUCUUCGGACCUUGCGCGAUUGAAUGAGCCGAUGUCGGAUUAGCUAGUUGGCGGGGUAAAGGCCCACCAAGGCGACGAUCCGUAGCUGGUCUGAGAGGAUGAUCAGCCACACUGGAACUGAGACACGGUCCAGACUCCUACGGGAGGCAGCAGUGGGGAAUAUUGGACAAUGGGCGAAAGCCUGAUCCAGCCAUACCGCGUGGGUGAAGAAGGCCUUCGGGUUGUAAAGCCCUUUUGUUGGGAAAGAAAAGCAGCAGGUUAAUACCCCGCUGUUCUGACGGUACCCAAAGAAUAAGCACCGGCUAACUUCGUG